CAGGACGGCGUCGCGUAGAUUUUCCAAAAUCGCGGCUGCCAAGCCGCCCGCGGAAUAGAUUUUUAACGUGUCCUUAACGCUAGACUCGAGGGACUCGUGAGAUUGAUUGGUAUUGUACUUGUUGGACAUUGUUUCGGGGAAAGUUUCGGUCGAUUUGGAUUGAUUCAGUUGUGGCUGUGGAAAUUUUAUGGAAAUAGAGAUGGGGAUUUUGGUUCUCUGUCUUUGAAGUGAUUGCUAAGACGUGUCACGUAGUUUUCUUGGAUAGUACGAUGAGGUGGAUGUAAUUAUUCUAAUUAAGCUAUGGACAGAUUGGGCGUAGGGAAGUUUCGGUCGAUUUGGACUGAUCCAGUUGUGGCUGUGGAAAUUUGAUGGAAAUAGAGAUGCUCUAGGAGCUAGUUUUCUUGUAAGAAGCUGAGGGAAUGUGUCCUUGGAGAAGUUUUAUUUUAAGUCCUUGUACA